AUUGAACGCUGGCGGCAGGCCUAACACAUGCAAGUCGAACGAGUGGCAGACGGGUGAGUAAUGUCUGGGAAACUGCCUGAUGGAGGGGGAUAACUACUGGAAACGGUAGCUAAUACCGCAUACCAUCGGAUGUGCCCAGAUGGGAUUAGCUAGUAGGUGGGGUAAAGGCUCACCUAGGCGACGAUCCCUAGCUGGUCUGAGAGGAUGACCAGCCACACUGGAACUGAGACACGGUCCAGACUCCUAGGGGAGGCAGCAGUGGGGAAUAUGCCACUAUGGGCGCAAGCCUGAUACAGCCAAACCGCGUGUAUGAAGAAGGCCUUCGGGUUGUAAAGUACCUUCUGCGGGGAGGCGGUACCCGCAGAAGAAGCUACGGCUAACUCCGAGACAGCAGCCGCGGUAAUUC
rnacentral:rRNA from 1 species